UUAAAUUGAAGAGUUUGAUCAUGGCUCAGAUUGAACGCUGGCGGCAGGCCUAACACAUGCAAGUCGAACGGUAACAGGAAACAGCUUGCUGUUUCGCUGACGAGUGGCGGACGGGUGAGUAAUGUCUGGGAAACUGCCUGAUGGAGGGGGAUAACUACUGGAAACGGUAGCUAAUACCGCAUAAUGUCGCAAGACCAAAGAGGGGGACCUUCGGGCCUCUUGCCAUCGGAUGUGCCCAGAUGGGAUUAGCUAGUAGGUGGGGUAACGGCUCACCUAGGCGACGAUCCCUAGCUGGUCUGAGAGGAUGACCAGCCACACUGGAACUGAGACACGGUCCAGACUCCUACGGGAGGCAGCAGUGGGGAAUAUUGCAC
rnacentral:rRNA from 1 species